AACCCAUGAUGAGGACACAUGUUGACCUACUCUUUGAACCUUUCCCAGCUUGAAUGAAAAGUCUCAUCUGCUUUCUGCAUGAAUUGACUAAUUUGUUCCUGCAAAGAUU